AGGGGAAAACAAAAAAAAAGCAAUUAAAAAGGAAAAGGGGGAGCUGAAAAGGAAAAAAGAAGAGUGCCAAAGAGGAUCUUCUCUCUUACAAUUAUCUAUAAAAAGGGGACAGGGGGAGUGAGACGGGAGCUAGAGAGAGAAAAGAGAACUCGAAGCUUAUGGCCUACAGAGAAAUUAGAGAGUAGAAGCGAAGCGACAUGCUAGGGUGAGAAGCAGAUUCGAAGUAGAAGUGCGAUAACAUAGCAGAAACUUGGAAAAGCAGAAAUAAAGAGAAGCGACGAACUUGGUGGCAAACAUAACAGAUGAAGAGAGAGAGGAAAGUUAAGAAAAAUUGGUCAAGAAAUAUUUAUUUAAUUUUCAUAUUAGUAUAUUUUUAGUAGAAAUUUUUAAGAAUUUUUAUGACACUUGAAUGCUAGUAUUUGGAAUUG
rnacentral:lncRNA from 1 species